rnacentral:rRNA from 1 species
CCUACGGGGGGCAGCAGUGGGGAAUAUUGGGCAAUGGGCGCAAGCCUGACCCAGCAACGCCGCGUGAAGGAAGAAGGCUUUCGGGUUGUAAACUUCUUUUCUCAGGGACGAAGCAAGUGACGGUCCCUGAGGAAUAAGCCACGGCUACCUACGUGCCCGCAGCCGCGGUACUCCGGAGGAUGCGAGCGUUCUCCGGAUUUAUUGGGUUUAAAGGGUGCGCAGGCGGAUUUUUAAGUCAGCGGUCAAAUCGUGGGGCUCAACCCCAGCCAGCCGUUGAAACUGGGGAUCUAGAGUGUGCGAGAGGUAUGCGGAAUUCGUGGUGUAGCGGUGAAAUGCUUAGAUAUCACGAAGAACUCCGAUUGCGAAGGCAGCCUACUAAACUGCCACUGACAUUGAUGCUCGAAAGUGUGGGUAUCAAACAGGAUUAGAUACCCCGGUAGUC